CCUAGCGGCGGACGGGUGAGUAAUGCUUAGGAAUCUGCCUAUUAGUGGGGGACAACAUUCCGAAAGGAAUGCUAAUACCGCAUACGCCCUACGGGGGAAAGCAGGGGAUCUUCGGACCUUGCGCUAAUAGAUGAGCCUAAGUCAGAUUAGCUAGUUGGUGGGGUAAAGGCCUACCAAGGCGACGAUCUGUAGCGGGUCUGAGAGGAUGAUCCGCCACACUGGGACUGAGACACGGCCCAGACUCCUACGGGAGGCAGCAGUGGGGAAUAUUGGACAAUGGGCGAAAGCCUGAUCCAGCCAUGCCGCGUGUGUGAAGAAGGCCUUUUGGUUGUAAAGCACUUUAAGCGAGGAGGAGGCUACUUAGAUUAAUACUCUAGGAUAGUGGACGUUACUCGCAGAAUAAGCACCGGCUAACUCUGUGCCAGCAGCCGCGGUAAUACAGAGGGUGCGAGCGUUAAUCGGAUUUACUGGGCGUAAAGCGUGCGUAGGCGGCUUUUUAAGUCGGAUGUGAAAUCCCUGAGCUUAACUUAGGAAUUGCAUUCGAUACUGGGAAGCUAGAGUAUGGGAGAGGAUGGUAGAAUUCCAGGUGUAGCGGUGAAAUGCGUAGAGAUCUGGAGGAAUACCGAUGGCGAAGGCAGCCAUCUGGCCUAAUACUGACGCUGAGGUACGAAAGCAUGGGGAGCAAACAGGAUUAGAUACCCUGGUAGUCCAUGCCGUAAACGAUGUCUACUAGCCGUUGGGGCCUUUGAGGCUUUAGUGGCGCAGCUAACGCGAUAAGUAGACCGCCUGGGGAGUACGGUCGCAAGACUAAAACUCAAAUGAAUUGACGGGGGCCCGCCAAGCGGGGAGCAUGGGUUUAAUUCGAUGCAACGCGAAAACCUUACCUGGCUUGAUAGUAAGAACUUUCCAGAGAUGGAUUGGUGCCUUCGGGAACUUA
rnacentral:rRNA from 1 species